rnacentral:rRNA from 1 species
GAGUUUGAUCAUGGCUCAGGAUGAACGCUGACAGAAUGCUUAACACAUGCAAGUCUACUUGAUCCUUCGGGUGAAGGUGGCGGACGGGUGAGUAACGCGUAAAGAACUUGCCUUACAGACUGGGACAACAUUUGGAAACGAAUGCUAAUACCGGAUAUUAUGAUUGGAUCGCAUGGUCUGAUUAUGAAAGCUAUAUGGGCUGUGAGAGAGCUUUGCGUCCCAUUAGUUAGUUGGUGAGGUAACGGCUCACCAAGACGAUGAUGGGUAGCCGGCCUGAGAGGGUGAACGGCCACAAGGGGACUGAGACACGGCCCUUACUCCUACGGGAGGCAGCAGUGGGGAAUAUUGGACAAUGGACCAAAAGUCUGAUCCAGCAAUUCUGUGUGCACGAUGAAGUUUUUCGGAAUGUAAAGUGCUUUCAGUUGGGAAGAAGUCAGUGACGGUACCAACAGAAGAAGCGACGGCUAAAUACGUGCCAGCAGCCGCGGUAAUACGUAUGUCGCAAGCGUUAUCCGGAUUUAUUGGGCGUAAAGCGCGUCUAGGCGGCUUAGUAAGUCUGAUGUGAAAAUGCGGGGCUCAACCCCGUAUUGCGUUGGAAACUGCUAAACUAGAGUACUGGAGAGGUAGGCGGAACUACAAGUGUAGAGGUGAAAUUCGUAGAUAUUUGUAGGAAUGCCGAUGGGGAAGCCAGCCUACUGGACAGAUACUGACGCUAAAGCGCGAAAGCGUGGGUAGCAAACAGGAUUAGAUACCCUGGUAGUCCACGCCGU